UAGAGUUUGAUUCUGGCUCAGAUUGAACGCUGGCGGCAUGCCUUACACAUGCAAGUCGAACGGAAACGCGGGGCAACCUGGCGACGAGUGGCGAACGGGUGAGUAAUAUAUCGGAACGUGCCCAGUCGUGGGGGAUAACGCAGCGAAAGCUGUGCUAAUACCGCAUACGAUCUAUGGAUGAAAGCGGGGGAUCGCAAGACCUCGCGCUGAUUGAGCGGCCGAUAUCAGAUUAGCUAGUUGGUGAGGUAAAGGCUCACCAAGGCGACGAUCUGUAGCGGGUUGAGAGGAUGAUCCGCCACACGGAACUGAGACACGGUCCAGACUCCUACGGGAGGCAGCAGUGGGGAAUUUUGGACAAUGGGCGCAAGCCUGAUCCAGCCAUGCCGCGUGAGUGAAGAAGGCCUUCGGGUUGUAAAGCUCUUUCAGCCGGGAAGAAAACGCAUGGGUUAAUACCCUGUGUGGAUGACGGUACCGGAAUAAGAAGCACCGGCUAACUACGUGCCAGCCGCCGCGGUAAUUC
rnacentral:rRNA from 1 species